ensembl:lncRNA
UUGGGGUUAGAGUCAACAUGACUUGUCACAAUGUUGACCUUGAUCACCUGCCUGUGAAUUUGGUUUUUAAAUGUUUUCUUUUUUGUAGUUUCUGUUUUUAGAAAAUAAUCUGUGUUCCUUGUUUUUGUUAUAACAAAAAGUAUUUGUAAUAAUAUUCUGGACAUGUCUGUCCAUCUUUAGCAAUAGCAUUUGUAGUAGGCUGUACAUUGAUAAGCUGAUAAUACAGACAGCUGAUAAUAGAAAUUAGAGUCAGAGAAAAAAUAACGGGCCAAGUUGCUGGAAGGACUAAUUAUAGAAAGGAAUUAAAGGCAUUAGUAUAGUAUAGCUUGUUUUAACAGUCCUUAAACUGUUUUAGGAAGAACAGCCUGGUAACUGAAUUAUGCAUAACAGGGUGAAAAUAUAAAUAAGAUAGAUUAGGCCAAUUAGGUAAAUUCAUUCAACAGCAAAUAUUAAUGAACCAUACUGUAUGCCAGGUAUUAUAUAGGUCUAGGGAUUGAGCAGUGAAGAAGACAGUGUCUUAAUUUUUUUUUUUAAGAUUUUAUUUGGCCAUGCCACAUGGAAUUUGGGAUAGGAUCCCUGACCAGAAUAGUUCCCUGACCAGGGAGACGAGGCACUGAACGUGUGCCUCUUGCAGUGGAAACUGGGCCACCAGGGAAAUCCCAACAAUCUUAUUUAUAAUGGGAAUUUAUGUUUUAGUAGAUAGACAACAAAUUAAUACAUAAUAUGAUUUCAGAUAUUGUCAAAGUGCUGUGAAGAAAAUAGUACAAAAGAAUAGAGCAUGGUGGUGCUAGGCUUGGUGUUUCUUUUAGGUAGGUCAUGCGGUAAGGAUUCUCUGAGGUAGCAUUUAAAGGUAAAGAAACCUGAAUGAUAAGGAAUGAGCCAUGCUAGCAUGUGGAACUUUUCAAGCAGUGGGAGGGACUACUAGUGCAAAGAUUCCGGGGCAAGAAUCAGUUUGAGAUUUUCCAGCAAGUGUAAGAAGGCUGGUGUGCUAGAGUUUGGAGAUUGCUGCAGUAUUAAUUGGUGGCAGUGGUGGUGGAAGUUUGGUAGUAGGAAAUGAUAUUGAGAAGUUGGUGGGUCUCAGAUGAUAUAGAGCCUUAUAAACCAGAAGGGCUUUGGAUUUUAUUCUAAGUGUGGUGGGAUCCAUUGGACAAGUUUUAUGAAGACAAAUGGUACUAUCUAAUUUAUGUUUUUACAAGAUUGUUUUGACUACUGUAGAGGCAAGAGGGGCAGCAGGAGACCAUUCAGGAAGUCACUGGAAUGGUAUGAUGAAGUAUGGUGGCUUUGGGUCAGGGAGGCAGUGAUGGAAGCAGUGUGAGGGGAGGUCAGAUUCAGAGUCUGUUUGGAAGGUGGAAUUGAUAGAAUUUGCUGAUAGAUUAGUUGUGAGAUGUGAGAGAGAGGGAUCAGAGAUGGAUCCAAGGUUAGCUAAAGCAACUAGUAUCACAUACAGAGAUGGAAAACUGGAAGGAGUUAAUUAGUUUGGGGUUUAAACUGAACAAUUUAGUUGGAUAUGUUGAAUUUGAGAUGUUCACUGGAAAUCCUUCCUGGUGGUUCAACUGUAAAGAAUCUGCCUGCAAUGCGGGAGACCUGGGUUUGAUCCCUGGGCUGAGAAGAUCCCUUGGGAGAAGGGAAUGGUUACCCACUCCAAUAUUCUUGCCUGGCGAAUCCUAUGGACAGGAGCCUGGUGGGCUACAGUCCAUGGGGUCGCAAAGAGUUGUGAGUGACUAACACACAUGCUGUCUAUCCAGGAAUAGGUAAUUGAUUGUUUAGUCUGGAGCCCAAAGUCAAAGUCAUGGCUGUGAAUAUACAUUUAGGAUGUCAUCAAUACGUAGAUGGUGUUUAAAAAUCUGGGUCUGGUGAGGUCAGCCAGGGAAGUAGAGAAGAGGGCCAGUGACCGAGCCCUGAAGCUAAACUGAAAGCAUAGACAGAGAAAUAAGUAACCCUUAGAUUGUUUUGUCGGAGAAGGCAAUGGCACCCCACUCCAGUACUCUUGCCUGGAAAAUCCCAUGGACGGAGGAGCCUGGUGGCUGCCAUCUAUGGGGUCGCACAGAGUCGGACACGACUGAAGGGACUUAGCAGC